GACGAACGCUGGCGGCGUGCCUAAUACAUGCAAGUAGAACGCAGUUGCGAACGGGUGAGUAACGCGUAGGUAACUGCCUCAUAGCGGGGGGUAACUAUUGGAAACGAUAGCUAAUACCGCAUCCUGUGAGAUGGACCUGCGUUGGAUUAGGUAGUUGGUGAGGUAAAGGCUCACCAAGGCGACGAUACAUAGCCGACCCUAGAGGGUGGUCGGGCAAACUGGGACUGAGGAACGGCCCAGACUCCUCAGGGGAGCAGAAGGAGGGAAACUUCGGCAAUGGAGGGAAGUCUUACCGAGGAAAGCCCGGGGAGUGAAGAAGGUUUUCGGAUCGGUAAGCUAUGUUGUUAGAGAAGCGGUAACUAACCAGAAAGGGCCGGCUAACUACGUGCCAGCCGCCGCGGUAAUUC
rnacentral:rRNA from 1 species